GCUUCUCCUGUAUAACAGUGGUCACCAACUGGUCAAUCCUGAUCAACCGGUCAAUUGGGGAACCCCUGACAGUCAAUCUCAACUG